UAGUAAGUGAUAGAGUGCGCGAGAGUGUGCGUGUAACGGCCGUUUGAAUACGUGAGUGAGA
rnacentral:ribozyme from 1 species